GAUGAACGCUGGCGGCGUGCCUAAUACAUGCAAGUCGAGCGAACAGAUGAGGAGCUUGCUCCUCUGACGUUAGCGGCGGACGGGUGAGUAACACGUGGAUAACCUACCUAUAAGACUGGGAUAACUUCGGGAAACCGGAGCUAAUACCGGAUAAUAUAUUGAACCGCAUGGUUCAAUAGUGAAAGACGGUUUUGCUGUCACUUAUAGAUGGAUCCGCGCCGCAUUAGCUAGUUGGUAAGGUAACGGCUUACCAAGGCAACGAUGCGUAGCCGACCUGAGAGGGUGAUCGGCCACACUGGAACUGAGACACGGUCCAGACUCCUACGGGAGGCAGCAGUAGGGAAUCUUCCGCAAAGGGCGAAAGCCUGACGGAGCAACGCCGCGUGAGUGAUGAAGGUCUUCGGAUCGUAAAACUCUGUUAUUAGGGAAGAACAAAUGUGUAAGUAACUAUGCACGUCUUGACGGUACCUAAUCAGAAAGCAACGGCUAACUACGUG
rnacentral:rRNA from 1 species